UACGUAGGGGGGCAAGCGUUGUCCGGAUUUAUUGGGCGUAAAGAGCGUGUAGGCGGCCGUACAGGUCAGCUGUGAAAACUCGAGGCUCAACCUCGAGACGUCGGUUGAAACCGUACGGCUAGAGUCCGGAAGAGGAGAGUGGAAUUCCCGGUGUAGCGGUGAAAUGCGCAGAUAUCGGGGAAGAACACCCGUGGCGAAGGCGGCUCUCUGGGGACGGUACUGACGCUGAGACGCGAAAGCGUGGGGAGCGAACAGG
rnacentral:rRNA from 1 species